rnacentral:rRNA from 1 species
AAUCAACGCUGGCGGCGUGCCUCAGACAUGCAAGUCGAACGCGAAAGUCCCCUUCGGGGGACAAGUAGAGUGGCGCACGGGUGAGUAACACGUAGGUAAUCUACCUUCGGAGUGGGGAAUAACAACCGGAAACGGUUGCUAAUACCGCAUAAUGCAGCGGCACCUAAUGGUGACAGUUGUUAAAGCGGGGGAUCGUAAGACCUCGCGUCGUGAAGAGGAGCCUGCGGCGGAUUAGCAGUUGGUAGGGUAACGGCCUACCAAGGCGACGAUCCGUAGCCGGCCUGAGAGGGCGGUCGGCCACACUGACACUGACAUACGGGUCAGACUCCUACGGGAGGCAGCAGUCGGAAGUUUGGGCAAUGGGCGAAAGCCUGACGCAGCGACGCCGCGUGAGGAUGACGGCU